rnacentral:rRNA from 1 species
UUAUAAGAGACAGCAGCCGCCGCGGUAAUACGAAGGGGGCUAGCGUUGUUCGGAAUUACUGGGCGUAAAGCGCACGUAGGCGGAUAUUUAAGUCAGGGGUGAAAUCCCAGAGCUCAACUCUGGAACUGCCUUUGAUACUGGGUAUCUUGAGUAUGGAAGAGGUGAGUGGAAUUCCGAGUGUAGAGGUGAAAUUCGUAGAUAUUCGGAGGAACACCAGUGGCGAAGGCGGCUCACUGGUCCAUUACUGACGCUGAGGUGCGAAAGCGUGGGGAGCAAACAGGAUUAGAUACCCGUGUAGUCCCUGUCUCUUAUAA